UACGUAGGGGGCAAGCGUUGUCCGGAUUUAUUGGGCGUAAAGAGCGUGUAGGCGGCUUGGUAGGUCUCGCGUCAAAACCUGAGGCUCAACCUCAGUUCGCGUGGGAAACCACCUAGCGUAGAGUCCGGAAGAGGAGAACGGAAAUUCCCAGUGUAGCGGUGGAAAUGCGCAGAUAUUGGGAAGAACACCAGUGGCGAAGGCGGUUCUCUGGGACGGUACUGGACGCUGAGACGCGAAAGCGUGGGAGCGAACGAGGAUUAGAUACCCU
rnacentral:rRNA from 1 species